rnacentral:rRNA from 1 species
UACGAAGGGGGCUAGCGUUGCUCGGAAUCACUGGGCGUAAAGGGCGCGUAGGCGGCCAUUCAAGUCGGAGGUGAAAGCCCAGGGCUCAACCCUGGAAUUGCCUUCGAUACUGUCUGGCUAGAGACCGGAAGAGGUAAGUGGAACUGCGAGUGUAGAGGUGAAAUUCGUAGAUAUUCGCAAGAACACCGGUGGCGAAGGCGGCCAACUGGACCAUUACUGACGCUGAGGCGCGAAAGCGUGGGGAGCAAACAGG